UACCAGCUCUCCGAGUGGUAGGGAUGAUUAUUGGGCUUAAAGCGUCCGUAGCCGGCUUAGCAAGUUUCCUGUUAAAUUCAGCGACCUAAUCGUUGAGCCGCGGGAAAUACUACUAGGCUAGGAGGCGGGAGAGGUCGACGGUACUUCUGGGGUAGGGGUGAAAUCCUAUAAUCCCGGGAGGACCACCAGUGGCGAAGGCUGUCGACUAGAACGCGCUCGACGGUGAGGGACGAAAGCUGGGGGAGCGAACCGGAUUAGAUACCCGGGUAGUCCCAGCUGUAAACGAUGCGGGCUAGGUGUUGGGGUGGCUACGUGCCACUUCAGUGCCGCAGGGAAGCCAUUAAGCCCGCCGCCUGGGGAGUACGGCCGCAAGGCUGAAACUUAAAGGAAUUGGCGGGGAGCACCACAAGGGGUGAAGCUUGCGGUUU
rnacentral:rRNA from 1 species